GCAAAGAGCAGCAAAAGGAAG
rnacentral:miRNA from 1 species